AACGAACGCUGGCGGCAGGCUUAACACAUGCAAGUCGAACGCAUCCUUCGGGGUGAGUGGCAGACGGGUGAGUAACGCGUGGGAACGUGCCCUUCAGUUCGGGAUAACCCAGGGAAACUUGGGCUAAUACCGGAUACGUGCGAGAGCAGAAAGAUUUAUCGCUGAAGGAUCGGCCCGCGUCUGAUUAGCUAGUUGGUGGGGUAAUGGCCCACCAAGGCGACGAUCAGUUGCUGGUCUGAGAGGAUGAUCAGCCACAUUGGGACUGAGACACGGCCCAAACUCCUACGGGAGGCAGCAGUGGGGAACAUUGGACAAUGGGCGCAAGCCUGAUCCAGCCAUGCCGCGUGAGUGAUGAAGGCCUUAGGGUUGUAAAGCUCUUUCGUCCGGGACGAUAAUGACGGUACCGGAAGAAGAAGCCCCGGCUAACUUCGUGCCAGCAGCCGCCGUAA
rnacentral:rRNA from 1 species